rnacentral:rRNA from 1 species
UACGUAGGGUGCAAGCGUUGUCCGGAAUUAUUGGGCGUAAAGAGCUCGUAGGCGGUUUGUCGCGUCUGCUGUGAAAACCCGAGGCUCAACCUCGGGCCUGCAGUGGGUACGGGCAGACUAGAGUGCGGUAGGGGAGAUUGGAAUUCCUGGUGUAGCGGUGGAAUGCGCAGAUAUCAGGAGGAACACCGAUGGCGAAGGCAGAUCUCUGGGCCGUAACUGACGCUGAGGCAUGAAAGCGUGGGUAGCAAACAGG